UACGAAGGGUGCGAGCGUUAAUCGGAAUUACUGGGCGUAAAGAGCACGUAGGCGGUUUGAUAAGCGGAAUGUGAAAGCCCCGGGCUUAACCUGGGAACUGCAUUCCGAACUGUCAGGCUAGAGUAUGAUAGAGGUGAGCGGAAUUUCCUGUGUAGCGGUGAAAUGCGUAGAUAUAGGAAGGAACAUCAGUUGCGAAGGCGGCUCACUGGAUCAAUACUGACGCUGAGGUGCGAAAGCGUGGGCAGCGAACAGG
rnacentral:rRNA from 1 species